AAAAAAAAAAAAAAAAAGUAUUAUAAAAGUUCGUUCAAAAGUGCUGUUAAACUAAUUUCGUUGUAUUUGCAUACCAGCAUUUGCAAAGGCAAAAAAAUAGCGAGAAUUUCUCUUUUUUUUUUUGUAAUAUUUCAGAUGCUUAGACGCGCUUUACGCGACUUCUGGACGUUACUAAGCAGCCUGCAGGUUACAGUUUGACAGGAGAAAUGUUAAAGUGUAAAAGUGUAAAUAAUAACGUAACAAUGAGGUAGCGUAAGCCUUAACACCGUAGACAGGAAAAGUUCUUCGGUAUUGCACUGGAAACUUACCAGCCAUGUUUCCGGUACCCAGCCGAUUCAGUGGAUGUAACCGGCAUUUCCAAAAGUCGCAGCAUACAGCAUUGAUCCAUUCAACUUGUGAUAAUAUUGAUGCUGAAAACAACUCUUAAACAUUUUUUUCCGUAACAAGACCCCGCAUCUUUUUCCAUUAAACUACCAUUAAACAUGGAAUGAAGAGAGGGUGACUCCGCGGCUAACAGGAGCCUAUGAACCGAAAUACAGGUGACAGCCUUUUACCACAAGAAUGAAAUCAUAAAACUGAAAAUGAUUGACAAAUAAAUAUUUACCCUCAAUA